CCACUUUCACACUUGCAGCAGGACGGAUCCGACAGGCUGUUCACCCUGUUGGAUCCGUCCUUCCGCUAUUUCGCCGUGCCGCCGGACCGUCCCCAUUGACUAUAUUGGGGACGGGGCGGCGCUCCGGCGCAUUCCGGAAGUUCGCGGUCAGAGGCCGCUGGACUAAAAAGUCGGACAUGCAGGACUUUUAGUCCAGCGGCCUUUCGCCGUGCACUGCCCGGAGUCAAUGGGGACGGAGAGGCGGUCCGGCGGCACGGCG